UCAGGAUCAGUGAUGUUAGUUUUUACUGCGUUAUCUAUCUGAAGAACUGUAAUAAGGAUUUGAGGUGACAAUUACUUGCUGAGGUCCUGC
rfam:Macleaya cordata isolate BLH2017 scaffold8455, whole genome shotgun sequence.